CAUGCAAGUCGAGCGGGGGAGGUUGCUUCGGUAACUGACCUAGCGGCGGACGGGUGAGUAAUACUUAGGAAUCUGCCUAUUAAUGGGGGACAACAUCUCGAAAGGGAUGCUAAUACCGCAUACGCCCUACGGGGGAAAGCAGGGGAUCACUUGUGACCUUGCGUUAAUAGAUGAGCCUAAGUCGGAUUAGCUAGUUGGUGGGGUAAAGGCCUACCAAGGCGACGAUCUGUAGCGGGUCUGAGAGGAUGAUCCGCCACACUGGGACUGAGACACGGCCCAGACUCCUACGGGAGGCAGCAGUGGGGAAUAUUGGACAAUGGGGGGAACCCUGAUCCAGCCAUGCCGCGUGUGUGAAGAAGGCCUUAUGGUUGUAAAGCACUUUAAGCGAGGAGGAGGCUCUCUUGGUUAAUACCCAAGAAGAGUGGACGUUACUCGCAGAAUAAGCACCGGCUAACUCUGUGCCAGCAGCCGCGGUAAUACAGAGGGUGCGAGCGUUAAUCGGAUUUACUGGGCGUAAAGCGUGCGUAGGCGGCUUUUUAAGUCGGAUGUGAAAUCCCCGAGCUUAACUUGGGAAUUGCAUUCGAUACUGGGAAGCUAGAGUAUGGGAGAGGAUGGUAGAAUUCCAGGUGUAGCGGUGAAAUGCGUAGAGAUCUGGAGGAAUACCGAUGGCGAAGGCAGCCAUCUGGCCUAAUACUGACGCUGAGGUACGAAAGCAUGGGGAGCAAACAGGAUUAGAUACCCUGGUAGUCCAUGCCGUAAACGAUGUCUACUAGCCGUUGGGGCCUUUGAGGCUUUAGUGGCGCAGCUAACGCGAUAAGUAGACCGCCUGGGGGAGUACGGUCGCAAGACUAAAACUCAAAUGAAUU
rnacentral:rRNA from 1 species